AAAAGUGCCAUUUCAUCACAUUGUAUCAAGGAAAGUCAUCAACAAGGACAGCUGAUGAUGUUGAGAGUGAAAAGGCACUAUUCCUGUACACAUUCUGUCUUCUGAUGGGAACCUGAUGGAGCUCUGAGACCCUUCUCUGUCUUUCAGUUGAUUUUUUGAAGUUGUAACUUAAUUUUGUUCUUAACUCUACUUUCUCUUAAAGCUUUUUUUUGAUUUUGAAGAAAAGUUUUGAAAUUUUGUAAUGGGUGAGAAAGCCAUUUACAUUCAACCAAAUAAGAUGUGUAUUUUGAACUUUUACAUGUCUCAAGUCUUUUAACAUUGAAAUAGAAGUAUUAAUAUUAUAUAUUUACUGCAAUGACUUCAAAUCUUUAUAGCAUUGUGACACUUGGCUAUCGUUAAAUAGUUUGUUCUCUUCUCCUUUCCUAUCCUAGAUAGAGCUACAUGGGAUAUAAAAUUAAAGGUAAUAAACAUUAUUGGUUUGAACACUUUUUUUGAGAACUUAAUGAUAGAUUUUAAUAUAAUAAAAUCCUCAAGAGGUGUAUGAAAGCAACAUGUGGAAAUUUCUCUCUUAGACAAAGUAUAACUUGAAGUUCGGAAUGGGUGCUGCUUGACAAUCAUUGUUCUAUUCCAUUAAAACAACUGUUUUCUCUUUUGCAAAUUACAAAAUUUUUCUCCCGUAAUCAGCAGGCUUGUUUUUUAGUUUCUAAAGACUAAGAAU
rnacentral:lncRNA from 10 species